rnacentral:rRNA from 1 species
UACGUAGGGUGCAAGCGUUUGUCCGGAAUUAUUGGGCGUAAAGGGCGCGUAGGCGGCGCGGUAUGUCACCUGUGAAAUCUCCUGGCUCAACUGGGAGCUUGCAGGCGAAACUGCCGUGCUGGAGUGUGGGAGAGGUGCGUGGAAUUCCUGGUGUAGCGGUGAAAUGCGUAGAGAUCCGGAAGAACACCGGUGGCGAAGGCGGUUAGCUGGGCAGUUGCUGACACUGAGGCGCGACAGCGUGGGGAGCAAACAGGG